rnacentral:rRNA from 1 species
UACGGAGGGUGCAAGCGUUAAUCGGAAUUACUGGGCGUAAAGCGUGCGCAGGCGGUUUGUUAAGUUUGGUGUGAAAUCUCCCGGCUUAACUGGGAGGGUGCGCCGAAGACUGGAAGGCUUGAGUAUGGGAGAGGUAAGCGGAAUUCCUGGUGUAGCGGUGAAAUGCGUAGAUAUCAGGAGGAACACCUGCGGUGUAGACGGCUUACUGGACCAUAACUGACGCUGAGGCACGAAAGCGUGGGUAGCAAACAGG